rnacentral:misc_RNA from 1 species
GGAAGUAAAAGUCCUAACAAGGUUUCCGUAGGUGAACCUGCGGAAGGAUCAUUAUCGUACAAAAUGUGAGGGGCAUGCGAGGGCUGUCGCUGACCCAAAAGUCGUGCACGCCCGAGUGUGUCCUCUUGCAUAAUAAUCCAUCUCACCCUUUGUGCAUCACCGCGUGGGCACCCUUCGGGAUCAUCUCGGAGGGGGGCUCGCGUUUUCACACAAACCCCCCUUUUAAAAGUGUAGAAUGACCGCAUUUAUGCAAUCAAUACAACUUUCAACAACGGAUCUCUUGGCCCUC